rnacentral:tRNA from 1 species
UGCGGGUUAGAGAAGCUGGUCAUCUCACCACCCCCAUAAAGUGGGAAUCGGCAGUCCGAAUCUGCCACCCGCAACCA